rnacentral:lncRNA from 10 species
CGGCGAGGUCCGGGUGGUAUGGAGCCUUUUCCCAACAGCCAGGUGAGUGAGUUUGGAAACAGAUCCUCCAAGCCACACAGACCUUCAGGUGAGGUGGCCUCUGCUGCCUGUUUGACUGCAACCUCAUGAGAGACCCCAAGCCAGAAGCACCCAGCUAAGCCGCUCCCUAAUUCCUGACCAACAGGACACUGGGAUGACAGAUGUUGCUGUUCUCUUCUGCAGCUGAGUUUCGUGGGUGGUCAAUCUGUCCCACAGCAGAGGCACCGUGUGGGUUGAGCCAGAGGGUUCCCGCAGGCUGUGGGUGCUGAGUGGCUGGCCCCCAGGCAGUUCUCAUGGUGAGGAACUUGUUAGUUAAGCUUUGCCUCUCUCUGCCCUCAGUAGUUGUGUGGGUGAUUACCAAGUGGACGCAGACAUUUCUUUGAGGAGCUCUAACGGAGAUGCCUGUGUUUGGAUGAAGUUUGGGAAAUUUACGAGUGGCCAUUGAGGAAGGCAGGCAGGUCCGCUUUGUGCAUUUCAGCUCCUCCUGCCUUGACAGAGGAAACUUGUGGCUCUUGAGUGUGCACACUUCAGAGCAGGAAAGAUGCAGAAAUUGAAUUAGUUUGCACAUUUGGGCUGUCGAUGACUUUAUUCAAAGCCGUUUCGCUUUUGCUCAUUUUUAAUCUCUUCCUUCCAUUUUUAAACAGCUGGCAGCCAAGUAGGGCUCAAGUGCAUAUCCUAGGGGCCGUUGCAGGCUCAGCCACAUUAUCAUAACCCUCUCUCAAGGAGGCUGUAGCCCGCAGGAGCUGAGUGGAGGAGAGCUGGUGGCCACAACCAGAGGCUGGAAGGCAAAUCAGAAGGGUGCAGUGAGGGUCUGUGCACAUGGGGCUGCGUGCAGGCCUCUGUGACCGGGUGUACUGGGCGCUGAGUGUGUUCCAAGGCUUCUGUGACUUCCCUUAGUGCAAGCACUCCCACGCAGAGGAGACCUAGCUUGCAUUAGGAGUUAUGACUGCUCAGCAAACUCAGAUUGACCUCCCACAGUGGGCCAGGCCCUUGUCCCUGCCUCACACGGUUGGUACAGUGCAGAUACAGUACAGUACCGGGCUUGGCCCCUGCAAUGGCUGAGAAAUAUAUGCUCUGUGAAGAUUCACAACGACCGCCCCCCAAACCCAGGGACGACUUCAUCUCCUUUGGUCGGAGUAUGCCUCCUUGAAAAGAUGGAGGCUGAGCCUCUCUUUUGGUCAGAAUGCCUCCUUGAAAAGAUGGAGGCUGAGGCUCUCUUCGUGAGUGGGUGGAGGAAGAAUAAGGACUGGGGAACGGAGGAGUCAAGGGCCCAGGCACAGACCAGCCGGGAACGUCAGAGGAGGGAGGACGGCUCUGCUCAUGCUUCUGGGACUAUCUAUAGAGUCCGUGGAUGGCAGCCCGGGACACAGACUUCAUCCCAGCUCCAGGGGAUCCACAGAAGCCUUUACAGUAGGAAGUGAGGUCCAGGGUGUACCUUAGCCGGGCUAACACAGCCACAGUGGAGGGGAAUUACUGAAAGAUGUAAGUAAGGCCGGUCAAGAGAUGGAGACCAGUGAGGGGCUCCUGCCUGAGGGAGAGAUAAGGAUGGGCCUCCGCCAUGAGGGAGUAGUGGGGUGUGGCAUGAUGGGGGGUGUGGCAUGGGGGUGUGAUGUGGCAUGGUGGAGGGUGUGGCAUGGGGGUGAGGUGUGGCAUGGUGGAGGGUGUGGCAUGGUGGAGGGUGUGGCAUGGUGGAGGGUGUGGC